rnacentral:lncRNA from 1 species
CAAGUGCUAGGAUUGAAGGCCUGCGGCAGCAAAGCCAUGCAGAGCUGAGCAUUUUAUUAACCUUGAAUCUCUGGUCUAAAAAUGGGAGAUAUGAGAAACUGCAAAGACCAGUGGGACCAGUCUGCCUGGAGUAGGGCAUCUCACUUAUUCGUUAAUUCAUCCAUUCCACCAUUCACUCACUGAGCCCUCACUAGGGUCAGGGCAGUUAAGUCACUGUCCCCAUUGUACAGAAGAAACAGGCAGUAAGAUGACAGGCUGGUUCAUGAGGGCAUUGAGUCGCAGCUCCAGGCUCACCGUCUGCCCCUCCCUCUUCAGAGGAGAAGCGCAUUUAUCGGGUGCCAGUGUUCUCUGCCAAGUUCUGCCAGACCCUGCUGGAGGAGCUGGAGCAUUUUGAGCAGUCGGACAUGCCCAAGGGAAGGCCCAACACCAUGAACAACCACGGGGUGGGUGAGGCCUUGCUUGUGCAUCCAGGGCGGGAGAGCAGCUCGGGUGGGAGGCUCCUCUGCGGUGGCAGGCAGGCUGCCUGCCCCGCUCUGAACUCAAAGACCACCACUUGCCCUCAGCGACAUCUUUAGCAAAGAUGUGGGAACGCAGACUGAAGCUCCCGGGACUCCUUCCUAGGUCCUGAUGCAUGAGUUAGGCCUAGACGACCCACUGGUGACACCGCUUCGGGAACGCUUCCUGCUGCCGCUGAUGGCCUUGCUGUACCCAGACUGCGGUGGGGGCCACCUCGAUAGCCACCGUGCCUUUGUGGUCAAGUAUGCACUGGGCCAGGACCUGGAGCUGGGCUGUCACUACGAUAACGCCGAGCUCACCCUCAAUGUGGCUCUGGGCAAGGACUUCACAGGGGGUGCCCUAUACUUUGGGGGCUUCUUCCAGGUGAGU